UUGGGGAAAGGGGGGGCUCGGGUUGGGGGUGUCGGGGACCGCAGCCGUAGGAGGUGUGGGGCCAGAAGGGAGCCUGGGACGCACCGGGCGCUGUUAGCGCCUUGGCAUCGCUGUUUUGUUGUUGGGUCACGAGUGCGCCUCUGCACGCAGGCGCCGCCGCCGCCCGGGAGCUGACUUUUGGAGGGCUGAGUUGCAGGCGGCGGGCGCAUCCCAGAGAUGGCGGGGCAGGGAGGGAGGGAAAGAGAGGAGGGGGUGGGGAGGGAGGUGCAGAUUUGCACGGAUGGCCUCAGCGGGAGGCGCGGAAAUGCUAGCCAAGCCUGCUGGCGUGAAAGCCCCCGGGGCCUGGCACCCCCCAAAACGACCCCCCACCUCUGCCCCUGCCCCCUCUUGCUUGGGUUACGCAGGGCUGUCCCUCUCUUCCUUCACCCACCUUUCCUCAUUACCUAUGCUGGCGACCUAAAUUCAAAGUAUUUUGUAUGUGUGAUUUCUUUUUCUGUUUUGCUUUUCUACUGCAUGCCUGGGGGGAGGGGCCAGCCUGUCCAGACCCUUAUCCAUUUGCGAACCUGCCAUAUGGAGGAGGCAUCUGAGGGGCUCAGAAAGAAAUUACCUCAGCACUGUAUCUGUACAGACUGCAUAACUUUUAAACUCCCGGGGCUGAAAUAAUAAUAUGGAGACACACGCACAGGUACAGGAAAUACAGCCAGUCCACAGCCUUUUCAGACUGCAGCUGACCGGAAGAAAGCCUUUGGUUCAUUCAUUCGGAUAGCCUCGGUAGUACAGCCCUGAAAUAGAAGUUGGGCUUUUAAAGAGAAAGGAAAAAAAGUCUCUACACUCGCUGAGAAGAGAUAAAUCGAUACACAGGAGGGAAUAGAGAAUCGGAUUCAGCGUCUCUAAUGCAGGCAGGCAAAAGGCUUCUGUGCCCUGUGGCUUGAAGUAAAAAAGAAACAAAACUCUUUAACAACUGUCCAGCCUGACUCUUGGAGAACGGCUUAAUGUUCUACUUAGCAUUCUGGGUGGUUUUUUGUUUUUCCAGUGUGCCUCUUCCUGUGUAAGGACUGGAAAGGACCCUGGAAACCACAGCCAGAAGUCCAACAAAGUCCUAAUACCUCAUAUUGCGGUGGCUCUAUUUCGAAGAAGACAAGACAUCUCAAGUUGAAGGCACUUAGAACUAAAGCAUUUACAUAAAGGGGCAUGGAGAACCUAGACAGUACCUCAAGAUGCUGGACAGUAUGUUUUCUCACCUGUAACAAGGAGGUUGUAAUGUAAAACCCACUGCAGUCACUCGGGUACUACAUGGACCAGUGUUACAAAGAGGCUCAUCCAGUGGAGGCUCAUCCAGUAUUCAAAUGAAGCUGAUGUUGUGGGCACCAGAACUCCAAUGUUUUGCUUUAAGGCUCCGGGAGAGUCAUCUGGGGAGGACGGAAGAGCUGUUUCCUCCCAUCAGAUUCCCUCUAAACCCGACCUCCAUGGACAGAAUAUUCUUGUCUCCUCCAGGCCUCUACACUUGCUGGUCCUUUCUCUGCAUUUCAUCCUGCUAGCUCCAGGAUGCUCCUCCUAGAAUCCACUUGUGUAUCUCAUCCCGUCACCUCCUAACGCUGAACAUAUUGUGUUGUCACAGAUUUCCUCAGGGAAUCAGACCCAGGACCCCAGAAGGAACCAAAACUGAAAGGCUCUUCAGGUCCUAUAACGAUAGGGUGUUUA
rnacentral:lncRNA from 1 species